CACGCGCACAGGUCCAUUGAAGUCUCGCUCAAUCAAUUCGCGCUGUGCAGGAUGUAGAAAGAUCGUCCAUUUGUCCCAAGGGUAAUCCAGCGCGGCCGCUAGCUCUUCGACAUUGAUCAUAAUGCGAAAACGGCGCUGCGCGUCGGGAUGCUCGAACGGAUCGACAGCCGCUGGGACCGCUGGAGCCACUCGUGGCUUACCGCCGGUCGCGAGUUCCAGCAGAGCCUCAGCAGCUUCGCUCGGCAGAUGAUCAGCUAGCGUGAGGAGACUAUCUUCGUUGGAUUCACGCACGUCAGCCAACCAUUCUGCCGGCACGCCGUAGCUCAGCAGGUCAUCGUCCGCGACGUGGUCGAAUAGCCGUGCUUUGGGUGCAAUCCGCUCCGCAACUUCAACAUACUUCGGAACGAAAAUGUCCUUGACGGUUUCACGAAUUUCCACCAACUGCGCUGCGCCAGUCUUCGGACGGAUCUCCAAUUUCCGGCGCUCAGCCCAGCGAUACGCUUCGUCAUGGUGAUCAACGUAGCAAAGCAAGAGGCUCGUAUCGGUUUUGUGAACAAUCAAUCGAAUAUCGCGACCCACACGCACCGACCAAAAAUUCGGAUCUCUCGCCUUGUUGAGCUUGUGGAAUUGCAUUCCGGGCUGGUCCGGAUUUAGUUGCAGGUCGAAAGCAGUAGUUUUGACUAGUUUCUGUUCUUCGCCGGUUAGGUGAGCGAGGCUGUCGGUGAAGGUAUCGGCAAUUCGAAAUUCCAUGCCUAUGCCCCGGUAGUCAUCGGCGCAGCAAAUAAGCUUGGCUGGCAAUCACUAACGCAAGUUCCUUUUGUUUUGCCUUUUGCAGCUCAGGAUCAGCCUCAUCCCAGGGCCAACCCCUUAUCACAGCGUGACGCGGUGGUGGUUCAUCGGCCAACGCUUCUAACUGGGCAUCCCUCGCUACUUGCGCUUUGAAAAUCGCUGCUGCGUAAAGACUCCGCGCGCCCGCGGCGGACAAUCCAAUCGUCCACAGCUCUUCUCUUGGGUCGGGACCGUGGCGCGAAAC
rnacentral:misc_RNA from 1 species